rnacentral:misc_RNA from 1 species
UGUGGAAGCACAGUAAUGUGUGUAGCUAACUGGUACUAAUAGCUCGAUUGUUUUACUUUGCUGAGAUUACUUGCUGUAUGCAGUGUUAAUUCAAUGUAAAGACACAUGAUAAAUUUAACUUAUAUUACUUUUAAAUAAGCAAUAAUAGCUUGUUUAUAGUUUAGCAAUAAAGUUUUUAAUAGACGAAAAUUUUCAAAUUUUAAUCGAAAUAAAAAUUUUGUUGAAAAUUUAUAAAUAUAUAAAGCUUGCAUUGCUAGCUUGGUGGUUAUAGCAUGAGUGAACCACACGA